GUUUUUUUUGACAUACAAGGUAUUGAAAUAAGGUUUUAAUUGAAUGCUAAAAGAAUGGAAUAUCAAAGAAUAACUUUCUUAAAAUUAAAAAUUGAAAUUUUUUUAAUUUGUGUAAAAACAAUUAUAUAAAUUAAAGACAAGAAGACCCUAAGAAUUUUUAAAAUUUAAAUUAACACAUUUUUGUUUUAAUUAAAUUUUAACUGGGGCGGUUAAAAAAUAUUAAAAACUUUUUAAUUUUGAAAAUGACCCAUUAUUAAUGAAAAUAUGAUAAAAUACUCUAGGGAUAACAGCGUUAUAUUUUUUGAUAGAUCAUAUUGACAAAAAAGUUUGCGACCUCGAUGUUGGAUUAGGAUACUUUUUUAAUGAAGAUAUUAAAAUAAGAAGUUUGUUCAACUUUUAAAUUCCUACAUGAUCUGAGUUUAGACCGAA
rnacentral:rRNA from 1 species